rnacentral:tRNA from 1 species
GGAGAGAUGCCGGAGUGGUCGAACGGGCCGCACUCGAAAUGCGGUGGGCGCUUAGCGUCCCCAGGGUUCGAAUCCCUGUCUCUCCGCCA